rnacentral:rRNA from 1 species
GACAGAGGAUGCAAGCGUUAUCCGGAAUGAUUGGGCGUAAAGCGUCUGUAGGUGGCUUUUUAAGUCUGCCGUCAAAUCCCAGGGCUUAACCCUGGACAGGCGGUGGAAACUACCAAGCUGGAGUACGGUAGGGGCAGAGGGAAUUCCCAGUGUAGCGGUGAAAUGCGUAGAUAUUGGGAAGAACACCAGCGGCGAAAGCGCGCUACUGGGCCAUUACUGACACUCAUGGACGAAAGCUAGGGGAGCGAAAGGG